UAGGGAAUAUUAGUAAUGGGCGAAAGCCUGAACUAGCGACACCGCGUGUGCGAAGAAGGCCUUCGGGUUGUAAAGCACUUUUUGAGAGGAUGAGGAAGGACGGUACUCUCAGAAUAAGUCUCGGCUAACUACGUGCCAGCAGCCGCGGUAACACGUAGGAGGCAAACGUUAUCCGGAUUUACUGGGCGUAAAGCGCGUGUAGGUGGUUCUGUAAGUAGGGCGUGAAAGCUCCUGGCUCAACUGGGAGAGGCCGUUCUAAACUGCAGAGCUAGAGGAUGGUAGAGGGAGGUGGAAUUCCGGGUGUAGCGGUGGAAUGCGCAGAUAUCCGGAGGAACACCAGUGGCGAAAGCGGCCUCCUGGACCAUUCCUGACACUCAGACGCGAAAGCUAGGGUAGCAAACA
rnacentral:rRNA from 1 species